GGGCCCGCACAAGCGGUGGAGCAUGUGGUUUAAUUCGAUGAUACGCGAGGAACCUUACCAGGGCUUAAAUGUAGUGGGACAGGUCUAGAGAUAGACCCUUCUUCGGACUACUUACAAGGUGCUGCAUGGUUGUCGUCAGCUCGUGCCGUGAGGUGUCAGGUUAAGUCCUAUAACGAGCGCAACCCCUGUUGUUAGUUGCCAUCGAGUAAUGUCGGGAACUCUAACAAGACUGCCGGUGCAAACCGUGAGGAAGGUGGGGAUGACGUCAAAUCAUCACGGCCCUUACGUCCUGGGCUACACACGUGCUACAAUGGUCGGUACAGAGAGCAGCCACUACGCGAGUAGGAGCGAAUCUUCAAAACCGAUCUCAGUUCGGAUCGCAGUCUGCAACUCGACUGCGUG
rnacentral:rRNA from 1 species